GUGGGGAAUCUUGCGCAAUGGGCGAAAGCCUGACGCAGCCAUGCCGCGUGAAUGAUGAAGGUCUUAGGAUUGUAAAAUUCUUUCACCGGGGACGAUAAUGACGGUACCCGGAGAAGAAGCCCCGGCUAACUUCGUGCCAGCAGCCGCGGUAAUACGGAGGGUGCGAGCGUUGUCCGGAUUUAUUGGGUUUAAAGGGUGCGUAGGCUGGAAGGUCAGUCAGCGGUGAAAAGCUAUCGCUUAACGAUAGUCUUGCCGCAGAUACUUCCUUUCUUGGAUGAGGAGGAGGCCACUGGAACGGAUGGUGUAGCGGUGAAAUGCAUAGAUAUCAUCCAGAACACCGAUUGCGAAGGCAGGUGGCUGUACCUUAAUCGACGCUGAUGCACGAAAGCAUGGGGAGCAAACAGGAUUAGAAACCCCAGUAGUCC
rnacentral:rRNA from 1 species